AAUAGGGACCAAGUAUUUGCUGUUGAUCCUGAUCCACAGCCUCUUCUGAGACUGGUUUCAUUAAGAGUCACUUUCUGCUCCUUACUGUGAGCCUGCUGCUGGCUCCCAUCAGUCCCCAUGGUGCAUUCAGGGCCCAGUAGGGCACCAUCACUGCUGAUCAGGUUGUCAUGAAGCACGGUUGGCUCCAUCCUGGGUGCAGUUCCCAGAAUCUGGUCAAAGUCCUCAUAUAAUGGGCAUUUCAUUGGCAAGUUGUGUGAGGUGCAGUUCUUGUCCCUGGUCUUCCAGUACUCGCCCUUCAGCCAAGCACUUAAUACGCUCCCUGCACUGAUCACCUGUUUGGAAAAUUUGCAAAGCAGCAAGCUUUUUAGCUAUUUGCUGGUACAUGUUGUUGUUCCAGGUGCUUUUGCUGAAGUCCACAGUUUUACUGGCCUAGCACCAGAGAGUCCUCAAAAUCUGGCUGCACUUCCAUGACCAUGAAGCAGCUCACUUAGCAAAAAGGCUUGAUCAGUUUACUCUACGUGGCAAACCUAUGUGAGGCUCUCUGAUAGCGUACUUGCAGAUUGGUGAUUGGAAGAGAAUGGUUAAUGCUGACCUGAGCUGCGUCCAUUCGCCAAACGGGGCUGGGGAGGGCAGCUUCCAUUUUCAGUAGAGUGGAUUGCAGAUUGUUGGAAUAGAGAGGAUUAAGGAAGUUGUCCUAUGGAAUUGUGGGGUACUUCUGGCUGACUCCUGGGACCUGAGUCAAGCAGAGCUGUGCCUGCAGUGCAAAACCAUAGGGCUCAGACUCUGGGUUCUGGCUUGACUUGCGCUUGGACCCUCUGCCCUGCAAGGUCCUGGGAUACUGGUUCAGAGUCCUGGAUUAGUGCAAUUGCAGCAUAGAUGCAAGAGGUGUUAGGUUUGAGCCUGGGUGUCAGAGAGGUUCAAAGAGAAAUGGAAGGAGGGAUGGGAAAUUGUGCGCUGAAAAUAACACUUGAGUGCUCAUGUUGUGCCAUAGUAUAUUUGUUCCUCUUUUUUCUUUUUUCCUUUCUGAUUUGAGGAGCAGGUUGAACUGUAAAAUGUGUACUGCUGGCUUUUCUAACAGUUUAUGUAGUACUCCACACAAACGUUUUUCCCCCCUCUGGCUUGCUCUUCAUUCUGCUACGGGUGAAUCCAUGCUGACUGACUGCUCUCUCCAAUUAUGUACCUGUUAGCCUUGAAGUGAUCAUAACCUAAUGGGUGAUAUAUUGCUGUAAGUGGCAAAUUAAGUUUUUACCCUUUCAAUUUAUUGUUUAUCAGCAAUUUAAUCUGUCAUGCCUAUAGUCCCAUUGAUGGUUUUUAAGGCAGCUUUAACUUCAUCCCCACCAGGGUGGCCAGUGGUAGUUUUGCAUAUAUAUUAUUGCAUAGAGAUGAUCCAGGAAACAAUAUAAGGUUUGGGCUUCUAAUUAUUUCAUAAUAAAUAUCUUCCCUCCAAUUCAAGUGCUGAUGAACAAUAUUAUACAUAAUUAGUAGCAUUGUAUAUAAUAUUCUAUUUAACAUUGGGUGUAGAAUAAAUUGAAGGGAGAGGCAUGUUCUGAAACAGCUCCUUCUGUCAUGACUUUCUUUAACUUUUCUCAUGUGGCUUGAUUUUUCUUUCAUCUGCUACCCACUACCAAACCCAUUUUUCUCAGCUUUUGUUUCUCAGUUUAAAUCUAUUUUUAUCUAAUGAUGAGUCAGUCACUGGUCUCUAGUUUAACACAUCUUGUGUUGCUCAGAAUGGCCUCAAAUCCUUCUCAUAUGAAGAAGAAUAAAAGAACUAGCUAACUGCAUUAUGACUGUUUUAUUCUAUUCCACACCAAAAGCAAAGCUGGGUGCCAUAUAUUUAUUUCUUAAAUUCUUCCUGAGUCAAUGAUUCUUGAAUAGAUUUUUUUCCCCCCUCCUAACACAAUUUCUGUCAGGUUUUAUACGUGCAUGCACCUUGGUUUGCUACUAGUUUGUCUCACCCAUAGCUUAUAUAAAUGCUGCAGUUUUUGUUUUCUUGUACUACUUGUUAAAUUCCGCUGCAGCUGAAAUAAUUAAAUUGUCAUCUAAUUAUAGUGGUGCCACUCAGAUGGCCAGAGUUAAGGUUGUGUCAGCAUUUGCAUUAUAAAUCCUUAAUAUCAAGGGUUUAUAACAGCUCAACUAUAAAAUGUGUUUUGAGCUAAACCUUGGUUUGCAAGGUCUCAGGCCAGCAUUGAAUUCUUUUUAAACCAUACAAUUUGAAAAUAACUUAGUUUAAGUGUUUCAAAAAUAAAUUUAAUGCUUGUGAAAGUGCUGGAUUUGUUGCUCUGCAGACUACAGUCCUCUAUUUAACCACUUAACAGGUACAGCAGAGGGCACUGCAUUAUAAGUUUCUCCAUGAUGCCUGAAACUGGCCUCAUUCCUGACUUGAAAGAAAUAAUUCCAUAAAAUGAGAGGAUAGCUCAAUCUGCAUGUAAAUUAGCAUUUUGCUGGCAAUAAAGGCCAAUUACUGUCAAUUAUGGUGGUGGCUUACAGGAUCAAUUAAUGGACAACCAUUACAACUAACACGCAGGGACUGGACUGAGACCACCAAAUCAUAUUUCACUUGCUCUCAGUCAUCAAGGAACUAUUAGAUGGUGAUGAAGGCUUCCAUUACCAGUCUCAUAAGCCCAGCCCUCUAAUCAUUUUUAAUUUGAAGAAUAUGUUAGGAAGAGGGAGGAGGUCAGGUAAGGAACUGGAGGCAAAGCAGCCCACAGAAAUGGAUUGAUUUAGGUAUUUUUAGAACUGUUGCCUAUAAUUAAAAAAACUAUUUUUUCUGGAUUUUUUUUCCAGGUGUAUCAGCGAUCUCAGCUAAAGUGGAGCCUCAAUUUCUCAAGGAAAGAGAUGGAAAUAAUCUCACUGAAAUAGAUUUUUCAGGUUAGUGUAUAGUACAGAAAACAUAAGCUGAGCCUCACCGUUUGCUUUCAUAAAAACUUUGGAUGCUACGUACUUUUAACAUGAAAAGAAAUUCCAAAAAGAGUUUAAGCUGAAGAUGGUUAGAGGAAAUGUUCAAAAGGAAGAAAUGCAGAACAUAAAAGACAAAACAAGAAACUGAGCAAUGUUUAUAAUUAAUAAUUGAUACUGAAAUGUAGAAUUGUUGUUUUUGUUUUUGUUUUGUUUUGUUUUUGGUGGGGGAUGGGUUGUUCCUGAAGAUUAUGCAUGUUUGGAAAAAACUCAUUGCUUUUGUUUCGGUUUGUUGAUCUUAAGAAUUCAAAGAACAAUUUAGCAUCUUUUUAACUGGAUUUCUAAUUGUAAUUACCUCUUUAAUAUAUUUAUAGUGAAAUAAGUGAAUGCUUACAAAUAUUUCAAAACAAAAUUUCAACUGCCACACACUCAAUUUCCCAAAACAUUCAUCUUGUGGGGGCUAAUGCAGCCUGCCCAAAUGCAGACAUUUGUUUCAAAGUUUGAAAAAUAUUGUGAGUGGGUAGGCUAAAAAUGAUACCAUAGCAAUGUUUUGUUACAGAGAGAGGAACAAAAUUUGGGGAGCUCACACAGAGGGUCCACAGUGUUGUGCAGUAUAGAGCACCUUGUUAUAGGAGCACCAUAAGGAACAGAUUUUUUUAAAAAAAGUUUAUAUAAUUACAUUCAAAUUUACAAAAAUAAAAAGAGUGGGGCCCUGAGCUAAAAGUCUGCCUUCCAGCCCAUAAGCCACAUCCAGCACACAAUAGAGCAAUUGACAUCAUGGUGUAGAGUGAUCUCAGUGCGCCUUAAUAAACAGGGUUUCUACUUAAUGAGGAGCCAUCUACAGAAUGUGGAGCCGGGUUCCCUAGACUCUACAUAUAGGCCAAGAUGUGCAGCAUUGCAUGAACAUGAUUGUAAGUGAAUCCAAGACAUGCGACACAAGCAUGAUCUGCAGGUGCAUGGCAACUAUUCCCCCCCUCCCAUUAUUGCAACCCAGCUGUAACCCCAAAAUGCAGGGUGCAGACCAAUAGAUGGGAUCUGCUAUGUUGGUAUCAGAAGUGCAUUCUACUCAGCAUAUCCUACAGCUGCUCACUGCACUCUUGCGUGGCCCUGUUUGUACAAUAUCAGAUUAUAAUCCAUCAAGAUGCAUGGAAGGCAGAUAUCUGAUAUGUGGAAUCAUUACUUGUACAAAAAUAUUUACAGCUGUUAUAUGGAACAAGGGUUCUCAACCUUUUCUAUACUGUGGCCCCAUUUUACAAGCAGAAGAAAGCAGGACUCCAAUCCCAUUUAGUCAUAAAGAAAUGGAGGGUAGUUGUCACUCCCAGGAUGAGAGCCUGUGAAUUAUAUAAAGUCGUCAGCUAUUGCUAAAAGGUAACCUGCUUUUUAAAAUGCUGUUGUAUGCAUUUUAAGAAGCACAGCUGGUAUUUGGUAAAUAGAAGUAUAUGUUAGCUUAAUCUCACUUUAUGACUCACAGGAAACCAUUCAGGAAAAAAUCAUCUCUAGUACAAUUCUAAUGAUUUCUAUUGUAUUACCCCUGAAAUAAAGUUCAGCGUUUGAAACACAUGGGUAGCUGAGCAGCUCUUUUAACCAAUGGACCUCAGCUUCAUGCUAGUUUGAGAAGGUCAUUCUAGAAUUUUCCCUCUUCUUCCCAUCACAUCACUGAUGAUAUUUUUACAAGUUUCCUAAGUCCCCGUAGACUUAUACCUUAUGCGGCAGAACAA